GAACGCUAGCUACAGGCUUAACACAUGCAAGUCGAGGGGCAGCAUUGGAGUAGCAAUACUCAGAUGGCGACCGGCGCACGGGUGAGUAACACGUAUCCAACCUGCCGCUUACUCGGGGAUAGCCUUUCGAAAGAAAGAUUAAUACCCGAUGGUAUAAAGAGUUCGCAUGUUCUCUUUAUUAAAGAAUUUCGGUAAGCGAUGGGGAUGCGUUCCAUUAGAUAGUUGGCGGGGUAACGGCCCACCAAGUCUACGAUGGAUAGGGGUUCUGAGAGGAAGGUCCCCCACAUUGGAACUGAGACACGGUCCAAACUCCUACGGGAGGCAGCAGUGAGGAAUAUUGGUCAAUGGACGAGAGUCUGAACCAGCCAAGUAGCGUGAAGGAUGACUGCCCUAUGGGUUAGUAAACUUCUUUUAUAAGGGAAUAAAGUGAGGGACGUGUCCCUUUUUGUAUGUACCUUAUGAAUAAGGAUCGGCUAACUCCGUGCCAGCAGCCGC
rnacentral:rRNA from 1 species